AUUGAACGCUGGCGGCAGGCCUAACACAUGCAAGUCGAACGAGUGGCGGACGGGUGAGUAAUGUCUGGGCAACUGCCCGAUGGAGGGGGAUAACUACUGGAAACGGUAGCUAAUACCGCAUACCAUCGGAUGUGCCCAUAUGGGAUUAGCUAGUAGGUGGGGUAAAGGCUCACCUAGGCGACGAUCCCUAGCUGGUCUGAGAGGAUGACCAGCCACACUGGGACUGAGACGCGGACAAGGCGCCUACGGGAGGCAGCAGUGGGGAAUAUUGCACAAUGGGCGCAAGCCUGAUGCAGCCAUGCCGCGUGUAUGAAGAAGGCCUUGGGGUUGUAAAGUACUUUCAGCGGGGAGGCGUUACCCGCAGAAGAAGCACCGGCUAACUCCGUGCCAGCAGCCGCGGUAAUAC
rnacentral:rRNA from 1 species